rnacentral:tRNA from 1 species
AGGAUUGUAGUUUAAAUAAAACAUUUGCAUUGGAAGCUAAAAAUCAGGCGAAUGCCUGCAUCUUGA